rnacentral:rRNA from 1 species
GCUUACGGCCACACCGCCUGGUUCACGCCCCGAUCUCGUUUGAUCUCGGAAGAUAAGAUAGGUUGGGCCUGGUUAGUACUUGGAUGGGAGACCGCCUAGGCAUACCAGGUGCUGUAAGGC